rnacentral:rRNA from 1 species
GACGAACGCUGGCGGCGUGCUUAACACAUGCAAGUCGAACGGAAAGGCCCUGCUUUUGUGGGGUGCUCGAGUGGCGAACGGGUGAGUAACACGUGAGUAACCUGCCCUUGACUUUGGGAUAACUUCAGGAAACUGGGGCUAAUACCGGAUAGGAGCUCCUGCUGCAUGGUGGGGGUUGGAAAGUUUCGGCGGUUGGGGAUGGACUCGCGGCUUAUCAGCUUGUUGGUGGGGUAGUGGCUUACCAAGGCUUUGACGGGUAGCCGGCCUGAGAGGGUGACCGGCCACAUUGGGACUGAGAGACGGACCAGACGCCUACGGGAGGCAGCAGUGGGGAACAUUGCACAAUGGGCGGAAGCGUGAUGCAGCAACGCUGCGUGCGGGAUGACGGCCUUCGGGCUGUAAACCGCUUUCGCCUGUGACGAAGCGUGAGUGACGGUAAUGGGUAAAGAAGCACCGGCUAAUUACGUG